GAAGGUUCCAGGGCUCAGGGAGUGCGGCCAUCGGGGGACCCUGCCGUGACACAGGGUUCGGAAACUGCUCCCUAUUUGGGGGGAAGGGGAGGCAUUGUUGUGUGACGCAGCUCCCAGGCCGAAUUUUCCCCGUGGAAUAGUGACUUUGGGGUCCCGAGAUUUUACUUUUCACAGUUGUCAGUACCAAAAUGCAGUUACUUAUGUCAAACCCUAACUAAAUGGCGCCUGGAGGGCCACACGCAGGUGUGCCUGUGACAGCAACUACACAAGGGACUUCCCAGACUGGAGCUUCCAGAGCUUCCCUCCCCCACCCCUCCCAGGAGCCGCAGGCUGAUCUAGCACAUGCAUCGGAAUCGCAGUCCCUUGCCACUCCCAAGUAAACACGUUUGUUGUUGAGA